rnacentral:lncRNA from 1 species
AUCACAUAAUCAUAGCCUACCAAGAUCACACUUCUAUACUUAUAUUUUUCCCAAACCAUGAGAAUAAAAUCACACUAAAAAGACUCAACAUCUUCAAACAUAACUCUUUAAUUUAGCUAUCAAGAACAACAUAAAUUAUCUAACUAGCCUUUCUCUACCUAGCAACUCAACGUUACUACUAACCACACAAUAUGCAAUAAUCCUCAAAAAAUAAUGCAGCCCCAUAGCACCU